rnacentral:rRNA from 1 species
CCUACGGGGGGCAGCAGUGGGGAAUAUUGGGCAAUGGAGGCAACUCUGACCCAGCAACGCCGCGUGAAUGAUGAAGGUCUUCGGAUUGUAAAGUUCUUUUCUAAGGGAAGAAGAAAGUGACGGUACCUUAGGAAUAAGCCUCGGCUAACUACGUGCCAGCAGCCGCGGUAAUACGUAGGAGGCAAGCGUUAUCCGGAAUGACUGGGCGUAAAGGGUGCGUAGGUGGUUUGACAAGUUAGUAGCGCAACUCCGGAGCUCAACUUCGGAACUACUACUAAAACUGUUGGACUUGAGUGCAGGAGGGGCAAUCGGAAUUCCUAGUGUAGCGGUGGAAUGCGUAGAUAUUAGGAGGAACACCAGUGGCGAAGGCGGAUUGCUAGACUGUAACUGACACUGAGGCACGAAAGCGUGGGGAGCAAACAGGAUUAGAUA